UAAAAAAAGUGUCAAGGUCGACCCACGACCUUCCGCUUACCGGGCAGAUGCCAUGACCACUAGGCUAUAGGCUCAUUAUUUCU